GUGCUUGCUUCAGCAGCACAUACACUAAAAUUGGAACGGUACAGACAUUAGCAUGGCCUCUGCAAAAGAAUGACAUGCAAAUCUGUGAAGCAUUUCAUAUUAAA